rnacentral:rRNA from 1 species
AUAUGUGAUGUUUCUAUUGAGAAAGUGCAAGGACUGGAUUCUUUCUUCAAGAGGUAUGGGGAAACUGAUUUUGUAGAAGCAUUGGAGAAAGUCCAAGGAAUUGCACUUGAGAUGGAUAUUGGUACAACACUUUGUAAAAGAUGAGAAACUAAAAUAAAGAGACAUUUUGAUGAGAACCCAGAUGAUACAAAUGUUGCCACACAGUCUGCAGAGGAAUCAUUCGGAAACACCUAUUUUAUAUGUAUUGCUGAUCAAGCAAUUAGCUCACUUACAAGCAGAUUUGACCAAUAUCAGGGUUACCACAAAGUAUUUGGUCUCUUAUUUACCUCUGAAACAUUGCAGCCAUUGGAUAAGAAGAGCUUGAAAACUUCUUGUGAUAAUCUUGAGGUUGCUCUUAAAAAGAUGGAAAAUCUGACGAUGAUGCUAAUGAAUUUUAUGUGA